rnacentral:rRNA from 1 species
GACGAACGCUGGCGGCGUGCCUAAUACAUGCAAGUCGAACGCAGUGGGGACGGGUGAGUAAAACGUGGGUAACCUCCCAUCAGAGGGGAUAACACUUGGAAACAGGUGCUAAAACGAUACUGAUGGAUGGACCAGCGGUGCAUUAGCUAGUGUGUGAGGUAACGGCUCACCAAGGCAACGAUGGAUAGCAGAGCUUAGAGGGGUAUCGGCCACACUGGGACUGUGACACGGCCCAGAAUCCUACGGGAGGCAGCAGUAGGGAAUCUGCGGCAAUGGACGAAAGUCUGACCGAGCAACGCCGCGUGAGUGAAGAAGGUUUUCGGAUCGUAAAACUCUGUUGUUAGAGAAGCGGUAUCUAACCAGAAAGCCACGGCUAACUACGUGCCAGCCGCCGCGGUAAUUC